UUGCAUAUCCCAAAAGCGGAGGAAAAGAAACUAACAAGGAUUCCCCUAGUAACUGCGAGUGAAGCGGGAAAAGCUCAAAUUUAAAAUCUGGUGGUCUUCUGGCCAUCCGAGUUGUAAUCUAGAGAAGUGUUAUCCGYGCUGGACCGUGUACAAGUCCCCUGGAAUGGGGCGUCAUAGAGGGUGAGAAUCCCGUCUUUGACACGGACUACCAGGGCUUUGUGAUGCACUCUCAACGAGUCGAGUUGUUUGGGAAUGCAGCUCAAAAUGGGUGGUAAAUUCCAUCUAAAGCUAAAUAUUGGCGAGAGACCGAUAGCGAACAAGUACCGUGAGGGAAAGAUGAAAAGAACUUUGGAAAGAGAGUUAAACAGUACGUGAAAUUGUUGAAAGGGAAACGCUUGAAGUCAGUCGCGUUGGCCGGGGAUCAACCUUGCUUUUGUGAGGCGUACUUCCUGGUUGACGGGUCAGCAUCAGUUUUGGCUGCUGGACAAAGGUCAGGGAAAUGUGGCACCUUCGGGUGUGUUAUAGUCUCUGAUCAUAUACAGUGGCUGGGACUGAGGAACUCAGCACGCCGAAAGGCCGGGGUUCGCCCACGUUCGUGCUUAGGAUGCUGGCAAAAUGGCUUUAAUCGACCCGUCUUGAAACACGGACAAAAGGAGUCA
rnacentral:rRNA from 1 species